rnacentral:lncRNA from 1 species
CGGCCCUCAGUCUUCAGGCCCUCCAUGCCUCCUGCUGCCAUUCAUGGCCCCAGGGCUUGGCCGUUCCUCCCCUCCAUCUGAUUGGAGCAGGUGCCAGGAGCAGAAAGUGGCCAGGCAGUGGGAGCAGACACCCCUAAACCUUUAGGGGCUGGGAAUGGGGAGGUUGGUCCUUCCUGGGGACCCGAGGGUGCAGGCUGCAGAGACGCCCGGCUCCUGCGCCUGGGAGGGCGGCAGCAGCAGCUGCACCCAGCAACUUGGAAGGGGAAGAGCUCCCACUUUUCUCCAGCUCCUGCCUGUUUCAUGGAGCGGGAGGCCCAGAGCCUGACUGACCGAGGAGAAAGAAAAUACCCAAUUCUAUCUACUUGAAGAUUUCAACAUGGGACAAAGGAAAUACCCAGCUUUGACACACUCAAGAUAUUCUGUCCCACUUGAAGUGGAAAAAGACUAAGAAGUUCAUAGUCCAGAGCCACAGGCUCACUAAAAUACUGACAUCUAAUUAUCGGAGGAUAUAAUGCUUCUUUCCUCUUUACUCCCCAAUCUUUAACACCACAUUACUGAAGGCCUAUUAUUUACAACAGCUCUUUUUACCCAAUAGAUCAUGCCUAGUUAUCAAGAAAAUGUUUCAAGACAUACUAAAAGUCAAAAAGCAAUGUUUGAAGAUAAAAAGCAAAGAUCUGAACCAGAUUCAGUUAUGGCAGGGGUGUUAGAAUUGUCUAACCAGGAAUUUGAAACAACUAUGAUUAAUGUGUGAAGGGUUCUAAUGGAGAAAAUAGACAGCAUGCAAGAACAGAUAGGCAGUGUAAACGGGAAAAUUAAAACUCUAAGAAAGAAAAAAAUGCUGAAGAUUAAAAUAAAAAAAAAUCAACAUUAGCAGACAUGAGGAAUGCCCUUAAUGGGCUUAUUUGAAGACUAGACAGUUAGAAAAAAACUUCCAAGCUUGGGGAUAUCUCUACAGAAACCUCCAGAACUAAAGACCAAAUAUAAGAUUGAAUGAAAAAAAGAACAGAACGCUUAAGGACUAUGGGGCAAAUACAAAAGUUGUAACAUGUGUAAUGAGAAUAGCAGAAGAAAAAACAAGAAAUAAAAGUUAAAUUAGCAAUAUUUGAAAAAUAAUGACUGAGAAUUUCUCCAAAGUAAUGUCAGACAUCAACCCACAGAUCCAGGAAGCUCACAGAAUACCAAGCAGGAUAAAUGCCAAAAAUCUACAUGCAGGCAUAUCAUUUUCAAGCGAUAGAGAAUAAAAGAUAAAGAAGAAGCCAGAAAGAAGCCAGAGGAACAAACCAUGUUAUCUGCAGAGAAAGAAAUACAAGAAUUACAUCCAACAAAGAAGAGAGUGGAGUUAAAUAUUGUGUUAAAAGAAACAAAUUGCCAACCUGCAGUUCUCUACCCUAUAGAAUUAUCCUUCAAAAGUGAAGAAAAAUAAGACAUUCUCUAACAAAAAUUGGCAGAAAUUUGUAGCCAGUAGACCUGCCUUAUAACAAAUGUUAAAAGUAAAAGAGUUCUCUAGAGAGGAGAAAAAAAUAUAGGUUAGAAACUCAGAUCCACGUAAAGAAAGAAAGGGCAUCACUGGAAGAAUAAUAAAUGCAAAAUAAAACUUGUAUUUUUCUUAAUUAAUUUAACAAAUAAUAGUUUAUUCAAAAUAAUAACAGCAACAAUGUAUUCAAUUAUGUAUUUUUAUAUAUGUGUAUGCUUAUGUAUAAGUUAAUUCAAUGGAAGAAAUAAAGCAAGGCACAAGGGGGAGAAAUUAGGAUUAUUUUAUUGUUAUAAACAAGUCAACUGCCUUUGAAGGGGUAUAGUGUUAUUUGAAAGUAGACUUGGGUUAGUUGUAAAAGUAUCACAAGCUGGAACCACCACUAAAAGAGGUAAGAAAAAUGUGUUCAGAAACAAGAGAAAAUUGAAUCAUAUAAAAUGCUAAAAUAAAAUGAAAACAGGCAGAAAAAAAUUGGAGGAUAAAAAUAGUAAUAA